rnacentral:rRNA from 2 species
GCUGGCGGCAGGCCUAACACAUGCAAGUCGAGCGGUAACAUUUCUAGCUUGCUAGAAGAUGACGAGCGGCGGACGGGUGAGUAAUGCUUGGGAAUAUGCCUUAGGGUGGGGGACAACAGUUGGAAACGACUGCUAAUACCGCAUAACGUCUACGGACCAAAGGGGGCUUCGGCUCUCGCCCUUAGAUUAGCCCAAGUGGGAUUAGCUAGUUGGUGAGGUAAUGGCUCACCAAGGCGACGAUCCCUAGCUGGUUUGAGAGGAUGAUCAGCCACACUGGAACUGAGACACGGUCCAGACUCCUACGGGAGGCAGCAGUGGGGAAUAUUGCACAAUGGGCGCAAGCCUGAUGCAGCCAUGCCGCGUGUGUGAAGAAGGCCUUAGGGUUGUAAAGCACUUUCAGUAAGGAGGAAAGGUUAGUAGUUAAUACCUGCUAGCUGUGACGUUACUUACAGAAGAAGCACCGGCUAACUCCGUGCCAGCAGCCGCGGUAAUACGGAGGGUGCGAGCGUUAAUCGGAAUUACUGGGCGUAAAGCGUACGCAGGCGGUUUGUUAAGCGAGAUGUGAAAGCCCCGGGCUCAACCUGGGAACUGCAUUUCGAACUGGCAAACUAGAGUAUGAUAGAGGGUGGUAGAAUUUCAGGUGUAGCGGUGAAAUGCGUAGAGAUCUGAAGGAAUACCGAUGGCGAAGGCAGCCACCUGGGUCAAUACUGACGCUCAUGUACGAAAGCGUGGGGAGCAAACGGGAUUAGAUACCCCGGUAGUCCACGCCGUAAACGAUGUCUACUAGGAGCUGGGGUCUUCGGACAACUUUUCCAAAGCUAACGCAUUAAGUAGACCGCCUGGGGAGUACGGCCGCAAGGUUAAAACUCAAAUGAAUUGACGGGGGCCCGCACAAGCGGUGGAGCAUGUGGUUUAAUUCGAUGCAACGCGAAGAACCUUACCUACACUUGACAUACAGAGAACUUACCAGAGAUGGUUUGGUGCCUUCGGGAACUCUGAUACAGGUGCUGCAUGGCUGUCGUCAGCUCGUGUUGUGAGAUGUUGGGUUAAGUCC